UGGGGAAUAUUGCACAAUGGGCGCAAGCCUGAUGCAGCCAUGCCGCGUGUAUGAAGAAGGCCUUCGGGUUGUAAAGUACUUUCAGCGGGGAGGAAGGCGAUAAGGUUAAUAACCUUGUCGAUUGACGUUACCCGCAGAAGAAGCACCGGCUAACUCCGUGCCAGCAGCCGCGGUAAUACGGAGGGUGCAAGCGUUAAUCGGAAUUACUGGGCGUAAAGCGCACGCAGUCGGUCUGUCAAGUCGGAUGUGAAAUCCCCGGGCUCAACCUGGGAACUGCAUUCGAAACUGGCAGGCUAGAGUCUUGUAGAGGGGGGUAGAAUUCCAGGUGUAGCGGUGAAAUGCGUAGAGAUCUG
rnacentral:rRNA from 1 species